rnacentral:lncRNA from 1 species
UUUUAAGUUCAAUCCUCUAAUGAUAAUCUUGUUGUUCCUCUGCAGCUUUCAGUUUGCCGGUUUCUGUCCAGGCUGGUCAGUCUCUCAGCCUGGAUCUGCCCGUUCCAGAUAAUGUUGAGGUGAUCUUAAACCGGACUGAUGAUGGCGGUUCUAACACCUUCAGACUCUGCAGGAUUGAGGGACAUAAAGCUCAGUGUGAUUCUCUGUAUAAACAGAGAGUGUCGGUCGGCUCCAGUCUGCAGCUGAAAGAGGUGAAGAACCAGGAUGGAGGCGUUUACAUCUUAUGGGACAUUAAGAACGAUGAGGUCAUUGGGAUGUACACGGUCACUGUCACUGAAACUCGUCCAGAGUCCAGCGACAGUCAUUGUGUUAAAGAGACAUCGUCGGGGGAAGUGGUGUUAGGGGUUCUGCUGGCGGUUGCUGUUCCGAUGAUCGUGGUGCUGUUUGUAGAGAAUCACCGGCUGCGGAAACGCCUGCAACAACAGGAAAACCAAACGCAAAUAAGGAAGCCUGAGGUUCCUGUACACACUCCAGUGAGGGAGACGAUUGAUGAUAGGCUGGAUAUUAUCGAGCAGAUGAAAUUGGAGGUUGAUGCAGAGAACGAGGAGAACGCAUCAAGAGAUGAAUUAGAUCCACUGUUUCGAAUGGUGGAGUCUCCUGCUCAUCCCGCUUCAGUCACGGAUGAUCCGCCCCUGUCCCUGCCUGUCCCUGACUCCUGCUCAAACAACACUCGAGUUUUUGAGUAAAUCAUGAAGGUCUUAUCUGCAUCCAACUUCUAAGUAUUCUAAACUUCUUAGAGUGUUUUCACAGCUGCUGUUAAUUUCUCUGCUCUGAAUCUGAGUUAAGUGUUUGUGUUUGUUAAGUGUUUUCCCACUUGGUUUGGUUUGAUUUGGUUCAUGCUACAAAAUGUGCCACAACAAAUCAGGUGGGCUCACAGUUAAGUUAUCUUGGGCGGGAUUAAUAAAAUAAAUACAGGACGAAAGUCCUGUGUAGGG